UAAACACAUCGGUAUGGCAUAAAUGACUUGUCAUAGAGUCGCUCGCAUUGUAAUGUGAGUUAUGUUCUUAAGGCGUACCGUAAACACAUCGGUAUGGCAUAAAUGACUUGUCAUAGAGUCGCUCGCAUUGUAAUGUGAGUUAUGUUCUUAAGGCGUACCGUAAACACAUCGGUAUGGCAUAAAUGACUUGUCAUAGAGUCGCUCGCAUUGUAAUGUGAGUUAUGUUCUUAAGGCGUACCGUAAACACAUCGGUAUGCAUAAAUGACUUGUCAUGGAGUCGCUCGCAUUGUAAUGUGAGUUAUGUUCUUAAGGCGUACCGUAAACACAUCGGUACGGCAUAAAUGACUUGUCAUAGAGUCGCUCGCAUUGUCCUCCUCGUGAAGGGCAGGGAUGCACAACGCAGGGAUCCUGAAAAAAAAAAAAAAAAAAAAAAAAAACAAUAGAAAUUACAGCGAGAAAAGCUAAAGUUACGAAGCCUUUAAGCUUGAGAACGACUCGUGUGUGCAGAAGCAAGCAGAUUUCUCCGAUGGGAAAAUGCUCACAUAACAAAAAUAAAAAAGCAACAGAAGCUCUGAAUUUAUUAGUAUUAAAGAAAAAUAUCAAAUUACGC